rnacentral:rRNA from 1 species
CCUACGGGAGGCAGCAGUGAGGAAUAUUGGUCAAUGGACGAGCGCCUGAACCAGCCAAGUAGCGUGAAGGAUGACUGCCCUAUGGGUUGUAAACUUCUUUUAUAUGGGAAUAAAACAGGGUAUGCAUACCCUCUUGUAUGUACCAUAUGAAUAAGGAUCGGCUAACUCCGUGCCAGCAGCCGCGGUAAUACGGAGGAUCCGAGCGUUAUCCGGAUUUAUUGGGUUUAAAGGGAGCGUAGGUGGGUUGUUAAGUCAGUUGUGAAAGUUUGCGGCUCAACCGUAAAAUUGCAGUUGAAACUGGCAGUCUUGAGUACAGUAGAGGUGUGCGGAAUGCGUGGUGUAGCGGUGAAAUGCUUAGAUAUCACGAAGAACUCCGAUUGCGAAGGCAGCUCACUGGACUGCAACUGACACUGAUGCUCGAAAGUGUGGGUAUCAAACAGGAUUAGAUACCCUAGUAGUC